rnacentral:lncRNA from 1 species
CCACGCAUCCCGUGACGGCGGCGUCGAAGCUCCCUUCCUCGCCCAUGUCCGCCCGGAACACACGGAGGAGGCGCCGGCGGCACCUGUCCCUCUCCCUCCCUUCUUCCACGGCGCCGAGCACCUGCCAGGCCUUGCCUGCAUGCAGCAUGCAUGCCAACCACCACCACCACCAUGGUCAGCUAGCUCAGCAGUCAAGAACACCGUACCUCACUAACUACACAAGCAAGGAAGGACACCAGCAUGCAUCCAUGACGGUGGCGUGUACAUGGAUAUAUAUAUAUAUACCUGUGUCCCUGGCGGUGGCGUGGACGCGGUAGCCUCGGCGCAGCAGGGUGCGGACGAGCCAGGAGCCGACGUAGCCCGUGGACCCCGUGACGCAGACCGCCGGCGGCGGAGGGUCGUCACCGCCAAUACCCGCGGUCUGCUGCUCC